GAUGAACGCUGGCGGCGUGCCUAAUACAUGCAAGUCGAGCGAACGGACGAGAAGCUUGCUUCUCUGAUGUUAGCGGCGGACGGGUGAGUAACACGUGGAUAACCUACCUAUAAGACUGGGAUAACUUCGGGAAACCGGAGCUAAUACCGGAUAAUAUUUUGAACCGCAUGGUUCAAUAGUGAAAGACGGUCUUGCUGUCACUUCUAGAUGGAUCCGCGCUGCAUUAGCUAGUUGGUAAGGUAACGGCUUACCAAGGCAACGAGGCAUAGCCGACCUGACAGGGUGAUCGGCCACACUGGAACUGAGACACGGUCCAGACUCCUACGGGAGGCAGCAGUAGGGAAUCUUCCGCAAUGGGCGAAAGCCUGACGGAGCAACGCCGCGUGAGUGAUGAAGGUCUUCGGAUCGUAAAACUCUGUUAUUAGGGAAGAACAUAUGUGUAAGUAACUGUGCACAUCUUGACGGUACCUAAUCAGAAAGCCACGGCUAACUACGUG
rnacentral:rRNA from 1 species